rnacentral:rRNA from 1 species
UACGAACUGUGCAAACGUUAUUCGGAAUCACUGGGCUUAAAGGGUGCGUAGGCGGCUGUCUAAGCAGGGUGUGAAAGCCCCCCGGCUCAACCGGGGAAUUGCGUUCUGAACUGGACGGCUGGAGUGGGAUAGAGGUGUGCGGAACUUCCGGUGGAGCGGUGAAAUGUGUUGAUAUCGGAAGGAACGCCGGUGGCGAAAGCGGCACACUGGGUCUCAACUGACGCUGAGGCACGAAAGCCAGGGGGCAGCGAA